UAGUGAACUAGUACCGUGAGGGAAAGGCGAAAAGAACCCCGGGAGGGGAGUGAAAUAGAUCCUGAAACCGCAUGCUUACAAAAAGUCGGAGCCCGCAAGGGUGACGGCGUACCUUUUGUAUAAUGGGUCAGCGAGUUAAUCUGACGGGCAAGCUUAAGCCGGUAGGCGUAGGCGCAGCGAAAGCGAGUCUGAAUAGGGCGAAUAAGUACGUCGCAUGACGACCCGAAACCAGGUGAUCUAUCCAUGAGCAGGUUGAAGGCU
rnacentral:rRNA from 1 species